CCCUGCCGGUGCCCUCCCCGCCCGGCCCUAGCUCUCUCGCCUUCUCGCCCGCCCGGCGCUGGCCUUGCUGGAUCCUGCGCGCCGGGGACUGGGGGCUGGCAGUGCAGACCGAACCCGGGGCCGAGGGGCUUCUCCACAGAGCCGCCUGGGGCUCGGUGGGGGGCGCUCAGCUCGACCCCAGCUAAGGGAGCACUAGGAAGUGCGGGCGUCCCCUUCCCUGCACCCUUGCGGGGCGGGAACCGUCGACCUAGAAGAAAAAAAAAGCUGAGGCAAACUUGAUAUAAGUAGAGAGGUUAUUUGGGCCAAGUUUGAAGAUUGCAACCCGGGAGCAUAGCUUCAAGCUGCCCUGAACAUAGGAUUUGCUACAGUGACAAAGGUGAGGCCAGAGAAGUGACAAGACAGAUGCCAGUCCAGCAGGUGGGCAUGUCCAGAAAGUGCAGCCUCAGGACACGGUCUGGGAACAAAGACUGCUGGAGAGUUGGAAGCUGGCAAGAGGCUCUCAGCUGUGAAGUACCUGGGGUGGGGGAGAAGUGGUCGGAGAAAGCAGAGAACACAAUUGAAGACACUGGUUAUUCUAGCAAGGCUUUGACUGGAAUGGCAUAUUUUCAGAUAUGACCAGACUGCUCUGAGGAAUUCAGGUUGGCUUUAUAGAGUCAAUAAAAAGCUACUUGGAAAGAGUGGCCAUGUACCUUAUCUAUACAGUUCCCUUACAAGGUUCCUGAUCUUGAGGUAAGUAAAUAAUGUCCCUUUCUGACAGGCCCAGGAACCUCAAAUAUUUUGGGGCCUUGAGAAAAGAGGAACUCACCCAGUUCAUGCAGGUGUUACAGGCACAAUCUGAAGAUGAAUCUUUGGCUUUUUAAAGCCUCAGAUUAAAAAGUCUAAUCUGAAAUUCUCUAUGAAAAUUCCUUCAAAGCCAACUUGAAAAGAACCUUUAUGAUCAGUCAUGAUUCUUGUUCCACUUUAUGCAAAUAAUGAAGCUGAGUACAAUGCUAAAACUUAUUUUACAAGUAACUUGGUCCCACUAAGAUUUAUCUUUGGUAGAAAUGGGGAAUCUGAGAGAGAAAUAUUAUGUUUCAGAAGAAAACUAUUUUAUACCUAUUAAUAGAUUCCAGCCCUGAUGAUUGUUUCUGAGUUUUUAUUAUUUUCCUGCAAUCCUUAAUUAUUUCCUGGCUACAACAAGUCUUUAAAGAAGGGCUGGGUUUUAAUUUUCUUUAUGAUGUUUUUAGUUCACGCAUAAAUUGAAUUGUUUUUUUCUGUUCUGGCAUACACAUUUCUUUUUGAUUAUAAUUCUUAUGUGCAUUAUAUUUCUACUAUGUAUCUCUCUCUCUCUCUCUUUUUUUUUUUUUUGAGAUGGAGUUUCACUCUUGUUGCCCAGGCUGGAGUGCAAUGGCUUGAUCUUAGCUCACUGCAACCUCUGCCUCCUGGGUUCAAGUGAUUCUCCUGCCUCAGCCUCCAGAGUAGCUGGGAUUACAGGUGCUUGCCACCAUGCCCGGCUAAUUUUUUGUAUUUUUAGUAGAGAUGGGGUUUCACCAUGUUGGCCAGGCUGGUCUCAAACUCCUGACCUCAAGUGGUCCACCUGCCUCAGCCUCCCAAAGUGCCGGGAUUGCAGGCAUGAGCCACCACGCCCAGCUGUAUCUCUCAUUGUUUUACUUCUCCUAAGAAAACCAAAUUCAUGGUAUUCUGAAGACUAGAGAUGAUUCAACAGGCAACAGCAGUUAUAUAAAUUGAUGACUUGGCUGAGGUCUCAUUUUUGCCACCCUGCGAUGCCAUCCCAAUUUGGCUUUUGGCUUUCUUCAGAUUCCUCACUGAGAGGUAUCCUUCCCUGAUAUAAUUUAGAUAUUUGUCCUCACCCAAAUCUGAUAUUGAAAUAUAAUCCCCAACAUUGGAGGUGGGGCCUGGUGGGAGGUGGUUGGCUCACGGUGGUGGAUUUCUCACGAAUGGCUUAGCACCCUCCCUUUGGUGCUGUCCUGGUGAUAGUGGGUUCUCAUGAGAUCUGCUCUUUUAAAAGUGUGGCACCUCACCUGCCACUCUCUCCCUCUCUCUCUCUUGUUCCUGCUUUCCCUUUGUGACAUGCCCACUCCCCCUUUACCUUUUGCCCUGAUUGUCAGCUUCCUAAGGCCUUCCUAGAAGCUGAACAGAUGCCAGCACCAUGCUUCCUGUAAAGCCUGCAGAACCAUGUGCCAAUUAAACCUCUUUUCUUAUAUAUUACCCAAUAUCAGGUAUUUCUUAUUUUUAUUUAUUUAUUUACUUACUUAUUUAUUUAUUUUCAUGCAAGAUAGGUUCUUACUCUGUCACCCAGGCUAGAGUACAGUGGCACGACCAUGGCUCACGGCAGCCUUCUCCUCCCUAGGCUCAGGUGAUUCUCCCACCUCAGCCUCUCGAGUGACUGAGACUACAGGCAUGUACCACCAUGCCUGGCUAAUUUUUUUUGAAUUUUUAGUAAAGGUGAGGUUUUGCCAUGUUGCCCAGGCUGGUCUCAAACUCCUGGGCUCAAGCCAUCUUCCCACCUCGGCCUCCCAAAGUGUUGUGAUUACAGGCGCGAGCCAGUGCAGCCAGCUGGUUAUUUCUUUAUAGCAAUGCAAGAAUGGCUUAAUACAUCUCCCCUCCCCUAGAUGGGACAAGGCCAUCUGAUAAUUAACCUUCCUAGAAACUCAGGACUAAGCUCCUGAACAUAAAGGGAGCCAAAACAAUUUGCAUUUUUCUAUGAGGCCUUCUUUGAAAGGUCUUCAUGAAAAGGGGAGAAAUGGGGAAAAAAAUAGCACAGAGCAGUCUGAGCUAUGUGAGGUGUGCCAAAGUUAUCAGGCCCAGAGAGACAGGAGAGUGGGGCUUUUCGUUUUGUUUUUGUUUGAGACAACAUAGUGAGAGCCUGUCUUUAUAAAAAAUUUUAAAAAAUUAUCCAAGCAUAAGGGCAUGUGCCUGUGGUCCCAGCUACUGAGGCAGGCUGAGGAGAGAGGAUUGCUUGAAUCUGGGAGGUUGAGGCUGCAGUAAGCUGUGAUCACACCACUGCACUCCAAACUGGGUGACAGAGUGAGACCCUGUCUCAAAAAAAAAAAAAAAAGAACCCACUGCUGCUAAUUGGAGCAUCUAUUCAGGGGAACUUGAAUCUAGGCUCCCAGGUGGCCAUCCUUAAACUUUGGGCUUGAAUAAACUUUGUACUUAAUCAUAUUUUCUAAAUCUCAUUAUUUAAAGUCGAGAAUUCAUUCCUCCCUUCAUCUGUUCAUUCAUAUGUCUGUCCUUUCACCCACCAAUCCGCUCAUCUAGCCAUCCACCCAUUUGUCUGUUAGUCCAUCCAUCCAUCCAUCCAUCCACUCACCCAGACAUCCAUCCAUCCAUCCAUCUGUCCUUUCACCCACCCAUUUAUUCAUCCAUCCAUCCAUCCAUCCAUCCAUCCAUCCAUCCAUCCAUCCCAAUGAGUCAUCCAUCCAUCUAUCCAUCCAUCCAUCUGUCCGUCCAUCCAUCUUAUAUUUUGGGGGGCAUGUCUGAUGUGUCAGAUACUGUGGCAGGUGCACAGACACAAAUUCGGAAGACAGAUCUCCACUUAGAAGUCUGCCAGGCACCUCAGCUCAACAUAUCUCCAGCUGACUUCAUUUUAUCUUCCUCCUCCCAUCUCUUGACGUUCUGUUCAAGCAUUUAGUAAAUGCCUGUCAUCUAUAGCCUGAACCCACCUGGGUUGCCCUUAGUUGUCUGAUUCACAUCCAUUCUAAUUCCUUGGCUUCUCUCAACCAUGUCUGCUCCUUUUCCUCCUCUUGGCCAUUCCUGAGUGUACCUGGAUCACUACAGCAGUAUCUAUGCUGUUUCCUCCUUUUCUAGGUGACCAUUUGUCCUUCUGCCAGAGGGCUCUGUGGGAAAUACAGAUUCGAUCCUGCUGUUUCUUACUGGGAGCCCUCCAUGGCUCCCAGUCCCUGGAAUGGGCAACUUUCAGCUCUUGGUCGUGGGAGCCUCCUACCUGUGCAUGACAUUUAGCUUCACUUGAACCUGUGUUUGAAGCUUUAGUGAACACUGUCCUUGGGAGUAAGAAGUACUAGAAAAUUUAUGUUCAUCUGCAUCUUGUCACUGGGACAUGAGCAUAGGUGGUCUACCUUCAGUUUGGUCUGUGAACAGGAGGAUUACUUGAGCUCAGGAGUUCUAGUCCAGCCUGGGCAACAGAGCAAGACCCUGUCUCAAAAAGAAAGAAAUGACUAUAUGAGUUUGCUGCUCUUUAAAUCGAUGACUUUGCAGCUCUUCAUCUGAAGAGGUGGCGUCUGUUUCCCCUGUUUGAGUGUGGCACAUCCAGGAGAGUGGCUUUGAGCAGUGGUGUGGCAGACGUGACUGUAGGCCAGCCCUGAGCUGAGGCUGCCAGGGGACUGCACACUUCCUCUCUCAGCUCUGCCAGCUGCUGCACUGUGUCUGGGCCAGCCCGCUGGAGCACAGAGUUCAGUGCAUUGGGACAGCUACAGCCCAUUGCCUUGGGACAGCCCACAGCAACAAGACCCACCUGUCGCCACUGCAGGUGCGUGAGGGUGCCCGGCUGAGAGCAGACAAACCGCCUAGCAGGUGGCUUUUCAAGCGGAAUCACAGACUAGCUCCAUCGCUGUGGUGAACGUUCUCCCCAGUGCCAGGAUUCCACUUGGCCCCUGACUGCUUGAGCAGCCGACGUGACAGCCAUCUCUCUGCUGCCGUGCAUGUCGGCUGGGCUGGAGCCAGUGCAUCAGAAGUAGACGCAGAAGUGGAUCAGGAGCAAAACAUUCCAGAGAGCUGGCAGAAGCUGGCGUCUGGAGCCGCUGGGAUGCGGGUAUGGGCUCUCUCAGUGGCGGAGGAACAGCCUCCUGGCAGAACCAAAGGCUGCUUUGUGCCUUCGAUGCUGCUGCUGGCCAGAGUGGUUUUCUGUCUCAGACCCUGUACCAUGUGUCUGUUCUUUCUCAUUUUUUACUUAAAGGAGAAGAAAAUGAUUAUGUGUACAUGCUGGUGGCACACAUAACUUAGUAUUAAGUAUUACAAAAUCUUACAGGCAGGGCACAGUGGCUCACGCCUAUAAUCCCAGUAUUUUGGGAGGCUGAGGUGGGCAGAUCACCUGAGGUCAGCAAUUUGAGACCAGUCUGGCCAACACAGUGAAACCCCAUCUCUACUAAAAAUACAAAGAUUAGCCAGGUAUGGUGGCACACACCUGUAAUUCCAGCCACUCAGGAGGCUGAGGCAGGAGAAUCAUUUGAACCCGGGAGGCUGAGGUUGCAGUGAGCUGAGAUCACACCACUGCACUCCAGCCUGAGUGACGGAGUGAGACUCUGUUUCAAAAAAAGAAAAAACAGUCUGAAAAGUCUUACAGACCCAAGGAAGAAUUUGUCUUCCUCUGUGAGAGGGAAGAUGUGCUCUGAUGAUAUAGGAGAAAACCCCAAAAUCAGUAUCAGCCCACCAACCAGGGCAGUGAAGCUGCACCCAGACGCACCACACAUGGCAGUCCAUGAACAGCCGGGCUUUUGUAAAGGCCGGUGCUUUAUGGAAUGACGCUCUGCCGGGCCCGGGUUCUGGGGCUUCCAGUCACUCAGUCUUGUUUACUCAUCCACUGCGUAUUUCUUGAGCACCUCCUAUGAACCAGAUGCUGCUUGAGGAACUGGGGUUACCAGGGCAAAUGAGACCAGGCCCCUGCCCUCAGGGGCCCCAGGUUCAGGGGGAGAGAGAAGACAAAAAAAAGGAAAAGAAGUGAGCUAAUUUCAGACAGUGCUUAGAGCUGUGGAGAGAAUGCGUGGCACUUGGAUGAGCAGCCCAGAUGGUGAAGCAGCUGUAGUUGUGGUGUUGAGAGUGUGACCCUGAAAAGAUGUAGAGUUGAGAGUGAGUGAAGGCCCGGGGUCGGCAGGGGCGGGGUGGCGGCUGCAGCAUGAGCUCUAUGUGGAGGAGCAGUGAGCAGACCACUGUGUCCGGAACUUGGUGGGGGUCCGGGGCCAGGUGAGGCUGGCAGAGUUUGGGGAGGGGCUUCUGGCCCAAAUCAGGUGGGCUGUGGCACGGAGCAUGAUGUCAUCCUAAAACCAUCCUAAGGACACUUCAGACCGUCACUUUCUCAAUCUGGGCCUUGGUUUGUUGAUCUGUGGAAUGGGAGUUGCACUAGUUGAUUCCUGGGGUCCCUUCUGAAACCCCCAACUUUGUGAGUCCAUGACAUGAAACACAACCCCACUGCCAUGGUCUGCAGAAAGCUAUAAACUCUCCCUCCCCAGGGAGACAGACGCUCGUCUCCCUGGCUGCCCAAAGCACAGGGAGUCUCAUGUUCUGAUGGCUCUUUCUUUCUCUCUUUCUUUUUCUUUUUUCUUUUUUUUUUUAAGAUGGAGUCUCGCUCUGUCAUCCAGGCUGGAGUACAAUGGCGAGAUCUCAGCUCACUGCAACCUCCGCCUCCUGGGUUCAAGCAAUUCUCCUGUCUCAACCUCUUGAGUAGCUGGGAUUACAGGCAUGCACCACCACGCUCAGCUAAUUUUUGUGUUUUUAGUAGAGACAGGGUUUCACCAUAUUGGUCAGGCUGGUCUCGAACUCCUGACCUCAGGUGAUCCGCCCCCCCUCAGCCUCCCAAAGUGCUGGGAUUACAGGCGUAGCCACUAUGCCCGGCUUGGCUCUCACUUUCGUAUUCUUUCCAUGUAAUCACACAUGAAUGGUUGUCACAGGAUCUCACAGGGAAAUCAUUUAGCAAGUGAAUCUCAGUUUUUAAAAGGAAGGUGUUUGUGUUUUAUCAGCAUCUGUAAUUGAUCAGACCAUAUAGUUAAACCCCUAAGAAGACUUAAGGUCUUAUCUCCCUCAGCUGAGACUUCUGUGACAAACGCCACAGAUACGCAGAUUAAACAACAGAAAUUGAUUUCUCACAGUUCUGGAGCCUGGAAAUUCAAGAUCAAGCUGCUGGUCAGUGCUGUUCCUAGUCUCUCUUCCUGGUUUGCAGACAGCUGCCUUCUCAUUGUGUCCUUAGAUGGUGAGGAGAGAGAGAGAGUGAGCAAGCUCUCUUCUCUCUUCUUAUAAAGGCACUAACCUCAUUAUAGGGCCCCAUCCUCAUAACCUUAUUACCUCCGAGUCCUCACCUCCUAACACCAUAGGAGGUUAGGGUUUCAACAUUUUAAUUUUGAUAAAUAUUCAGUUCAUAACAGGUCUGCACCUGGGGUCCAUAUAGGUCAGUUUUAUUUCCAGCAGAAUAAUGGUGAUCUGUACCACCAUUACACCUGCCUGUAUGCAGGCAACCCAUAUUCAUGGCUUUCCAUAAAUGGCUUUAUUCUUUCCCAAAAUGGCAUUUUUAUUUCGCUUACUGUAUGUGUGAUUAAUACCUUCUCACGGUUCAAAAUAAAAAUAACCAAAAAGUCCCUUGCUGGCUCUGUGCUCAGCCUCCUACAACCUCACCAGGAGCAGCCAGUGUGACCAGUUUCAUGCGGGUCCUAGAGAUAUUUUAUGUAGUUACAAGCAAUUGCAUAUGUAUUUCCUGUUUUGGCAUAAAUGUUAGCACACCAUACAUAUGUUGUUCUCCAUGUUAUUUUUAUGUAAUAAGUUGGAGAUAUUUCCAUAUCUCUAGAAGGAAGGAGAUACGAAAACAAAGAAUUUCUUUUUGUGUGUGUGCCACAAUAGCAAAGAAAUUUCUUCAUUUUUUAAUGGUAAAAUACACGUAACAUAAAAUUCACCAUUUUAACCAUUUUACUAAUAAGUGUACAGUUCAGUGAUAUUAACUACAUUUGCAUUGUUGUGCAACCAUCACUACCACCAACCUCCAGAACUUUUUUUUGUCUUGCAAAAUCAAAACUCUGUCCCCGAUAAACACUAACUGCCUGUUCUCCUUCCCUCAGCCCCUGACACCUACCAUUCUAUUGUCCGUCUCUAUGCAUAUGACUCCUCUAAGAAACUCAAACAAGUGCAAUCAUUUGUUCUUUUGUGACUGUCUUUUUUUUUUUUUUGAGACAGAAUCUUGUUCUGUCGCCCAGGCUGGAGUGCAGUGGUGCGAUCUCAGCUCAUUGCAACUUGCGCUUCUGGGCUCAAGUGAUUCUCCUGCCUCAGCCUCCCAAGUAGCUGGGAUUACAGGUGUGUGCCACCACUCCCAGUGAUUUUUUUUUUUUUUUUUUUGUAUUUUUAGUAGAAACAGGGUUUCACCAUGUUGGUCAGGCUGGUCCCAAACUUGGAUUACAGGCGUGAGCCACUGCGCCCGGCCUGUGACUGCUUUAUUUUACUGAGCAUAUUGUCUUCAAGGUUCAUCCAUGUGGUAGCAUGUGUCAAAACGCCUUCCUUUCUAAAGGUGAAUAAUAUUUCACUGCAUGUAGAGACCACAUUGUGUUUAUCUGUUGACCUGUUGGUGGACGCCUGGGUUGUUUCCACCUCUUGGCUGUUGUGAAUGAUGCUGCUGUGAACAUGAAUGUGCAGAUUUCCUCAUUUUUCAACCACUGCAGGCUGUUCCACGCAGCAGAGGCUGGUACACCUACUCUCUACGGUGCACAUUUAGGGACUGUCCGUUUUUCACUAACACCAACAGCUGCAACAGUAAUCUUGUGCACAGGUGACUGCACACGUGCGACUCUGUAUUUGCAGGAUACAGUUCUAGAUGUGGCAUGGCUGCAUCAAAUGGAAUGUGCGUUUGUAAUUUGGUUACCCCAUGUCUCUAAGCCAUUUUAGUUUGGCAGCUGUUAGAAGCUGGUUCCGGAUCAAAUCUUGCAAGUGGCGGGAGGGUUGUGGGUGUCUUUAUCAGGCUGGAGUCAUGGAAAGAAUUUGCCCCUUUCAGACCUUGACCUCCGUUGGGGUUACAUCUUUAAAGGCACCGUCUUUUCACUUUGGAAAUGGAAGUGUUCCACUUGCUGUGCUGAUGGACACUAGAGGGCAGAGUUCUCCAUCUUUCAGGCAACGUGAAAGCUCAGUCCACUUCUCCACUUCUGCAACUACAGAGGUGAUUAUUUGGGACCACUGGAUUGGGGGAAGAAAGUCAGUGUUUCCCAAGGGGUACCGCACAGGACAGAGAACCAGUAUUGGAGCUCAGACAGGCUCGGGGGACUGGGAGAUGGAAGCCAUCGCCUUUACCUUGGGCAUUUCAUCUUAGGCCCCAUGGAAACAGGGGCCAUGGGUUGGUACUUAUCAUUUCUUUUAAACAGAUAAUGGCAUACAGUAAGUCCUCAGUUUCAUCACAGCUUCCUAGAAACUGUGACUUUAAGCAAGACAACAUAUAAUGAAACCAAUUUUACCAUAGGCUAGUUGAUAUAAACAAGAGUUAAAUUCCUAUGUCAUAGGCUGGGCGUGGUGGCUCACACCAGUAAUCCCAGCACUUUGGAAGGCCAAAGCGGGCAGAUCACCUGAGGUUGGGAGUUCAAGACCAGCCUGACCAACAUGGAGAAACACCGUCUCUACUAAAAAUACAAAAGUAGCUGGGUGUGGUGGUGCAUGCCUGU